rnacentral:rRNA from 1 species
CCUACGGGAGGCAGCAGUGGGGAAUAUUGCACAAUGGGCGCAAGCCUGAUGCAGCCAUGCCGCGUGUGUGAAGAAGGCCUUCGGGUUGUAAAGCACUUUCAGCGGGGAGGAAGGCGGUGAGGUUAAUAACCUCAUCGAUUGACGUUACCCGCAGAAGAAGCACCGGCUAACUCCGUGCCAGCAGCCGCGGUAAUACGGAGGGUGCAAGCGUUAAUCGGAAUUACUGGGCGUAAAGCGCACGCAGGCGGUCUGUCAAGUCGGAUGUGAAAUCCCCGGGCUCAACCUGGGAACUGCAUUCGAAACGGGCAGGCUAGAGUCUUGUAGAGGGGGGUAGAAUUCCAGGUGUAGCGGUGAAAUGCGUAGAGAUCUGGAGGAAUACCGGUGGCGAAGGCGGCCCCCUGGACAAAGACUGACGCUCAGGUGCGAAGGCGUGGGGAGCAAACAGGAUUAGAUACCCUAGUAGUC